rnacentral:rRNA from 1 species
AUUGAACGCUGGCGGCAUGCUUUACACAUGCAAGUCGAACGGUAACAGGCCGCAAGGUGCUGACGAGUGGCGAACGGGCGAGUAAUGCAUCGGAACGUGCCCAGCCGUGGGGGAUAACGCAGCGAAAGCUGUGCUACUACCGCAUACGCUCUAUGGGUGAAAGCGGGGGACCGUAAGGCCUCGCGCGAUCGGAGCGGCGGGUGUCCUAUUAGCUUGUUGGUGAGGUAAUGGCCCACCAAGGCCAAGAUGGGUACGAGGCGUGAGAGCGUGUCCUCGCUCACUGGGACUGAGACACUGCCCAGACACCUACGGGUGGCUGCAGUCGAGAAUCUUCGGCAAUGGGCGCAAGCCUGACCGAGCGACGCCGCGUGCGGGAUGAAGGCCUUCGGGUUGUAAACCGCUGUCAGUGCGGAGGAAAUAUAGUGGGGUACUCCCCAUUAUUUGACCUAUGCGCAGAGGAAGGACGGGCUAACUACGUGCCAGCCGCCGCAGUAAUAC